rnacentral:snoRNA from 1 species
GAGCUAGACAACCUUUGAAGGUAUAUCAGCAGUAUGAUGGAUUUAACCUGCCAGUCACCUUCAGCCAAGA